GGAUAGCUUGGGCUCUGGCGGGCCGCGGGACUGGCAGAACCUGCGGGCGAGGUGGGUGGCUCGCCAGCCGGGACGAAGGGAAAUGAGGACCACCGCUCCGGGGCGCGAGUAGGCGCGUGGAGUCCGGGGGCUCAGCCGCCGCGCCUCUUCCUCCUGCAGCUGGAGACUGCAACAGCGGCGGGUGCACCGGCAGCAGCGACGACCCUGCGCGCAGGUGGCAGUGUAGAAGCCAGACCGGGAGCUUCCAGAAGUGGUUUCUGAAAGAGUCAAAUGUACAUGAGUAAGCAAGCACAGGAAUCUGAAAAACCACAGCUGAGGAGGGAUUUGUUUCGUCCCUGCUAAUGAAGGUGUUAAAUAAACUUGGAUGCUGUUAUUGAAGCUUAAAAAAUAAAUGGAAGCUGGGUGCGAUGGCUCAAGCCUGGAAUCCCAGCACUUUGAGAGACCGAGAUGGGAGGAUUGCUUGAGCUCAGGAGUUCAAGACCAGCCUAGACAACAUGGCAACACCCUGUCUCUACAAAAAAUUACAAAAA
rnacentral:lncRNA from 1 species